rnacentral:pre_miRNA from 1 species
AGGAGCAACAGCCCCAGUGGCGGGGCCAGCUCUGCAGCCCUGGAGUCAGCCCCCGCAGUAGCUCCGGAGCUCUCGGUCUGCAGGGCCUGGAGGCUCCGGGGCGGG